rnacentral:rRNA from 1 species
GAGUUUGAUCCUGGCUCAGGAUGAACGCUAGCGGCAGGCUUAAUACAUGCAAGUCGAGGGGCAGCAGCUUUAUAGCAAUAUAGAGGCUGGCGACCGGCAAACGGGUGCGGAACACGUACACAACCUUCCUUGAAUAGGGGGAUAGCCCAUAGAAAUGUGGAUUAAUACCCCGUAAUAUAGCGGUGUGGCAUCACACUGUUAUUAUAGUUUCGGCGAUUCGAGAUGGGUGUGCGGCUGAUUAGGUAGUUGGCGGGGUAAAGGCCCACCAAGCCUUCGAUCAGUAGCUGAUGUGAGAGCAUGAUCAGCCACACGGGCACUGAGACACGGGCCCGACUCCUACGGGAGGCAGCAGUAAGGAAUAUUGGUCAAUGGACGCAAGUCUGAACCAGCCAUGCCGCGUGAAGGAUGAAGGUCCUCUGGAUUGUAAACUUCUUUUAUAGGGGGCGAAAAAAGGUCUUUCUAGAUCACUUGACAGUACCCUAUGAAUAAGCACCGGCUAACUCCGUGCCAGCAGCCGCGGUAAUACGGAGGGUGCAAGCGUUAUCCGGAUUCACUGGGUUUAAAGGGUGCGUAGGCGGGUAGGUAAGUCAGAGGUGAAAUCCUGGAGCUUAACUCCAGAACUGCCUUUGAUACUAUCUAUCUUGAAUAUGGUGGAGGUAAGCGGAAUAUGUCAWGUAGCGGUGAAAUGCAUAGAUAUGACAUAGAACACCUAUUGCGAAGGCAGCUUACUACGCCUAUAUUGACGCUGAGGCACRAAAGCGUGGGGAUCAAACAGGAUUAGAUACCCUGKWAGUCCACGCCCUARACGAUGAUUACUCGACGUAUGCCGAWACMCAKUAUGCGUCUGAGCGAAAGCAUUWAAKUAWYCWCCUUGGGAAGUACGACCSGCAAGGUUGAAACUCMAAGGAAUUGGGCGGGGGUCCGCSACAGGCGGUGGAASYAKGUGGUUUAAUUUCGAUGWAWCCSGAGGGAA